GGAGUGAACGCUGGCGGCGUGCCUAACACAUGCAAGUCGAACGGGGUACGAGACGCUGCGAGAGGAAGUGCUGCACGGAAUCAAACUUGUCUGUACUUAGUGGCGGACGGGUGAGUAACGCGUGGAAAACCUGCCUCAUACAGGGGGAUAACAGGAAGAAAUUCCUGCUAAUACCGCAUGAGCGCACAUUACCGCAUGGUAGAGUGUGAAAAGAUUUAUCGGUAUGAGAUGGUUCCGCGUCUGAUUAGCCAGUUGGCGGGGUAACGGCCCACCAAAGCGACGAUCAGUAGCCGGCCUGAGAGGGCGGACGGCCACAUUGGGACUGAGACACGGCCCAGACUCCUACGGGAGGCAGCAGUGGGGGAUAUUGCACAAUGGGGGAAACCCUGAUGCCAGCGACGCCGCGUGGGUGAAGAAGUUAUUCGUAAUGUAAAGCCCUAUCAGCAGGGAAGAUAAUGACGGUACCUGACUAAGAAGCCCCGGCUAACUACGUGCCAGCAGCUGC
rnacentral:rRNA from 1 species